UACGGGGGGGGCAAGCGUUGUUCGGAAUUACUGGGUGUAAAGGGUUCGUAGGCGGUGCGGCAAGUCGGGAGUGAAAUCUCUGGGCUCAACCCAGAGGCUGCUUCCGAAACUGCUGUGCUUGAGUGUGGGAGGGGCGCGUGGAAUUGCAGGUGUAGCGGUGAAAUGCGUAGAUAUCUGCAGGAACACCCGUGGCGAAAGCGGCGCGCUGGACCACUACUGACGCUGAAGAACGAAAGCUAGGGGAGCAAACAGG
rnacentral:rRNA from 1 species